rnacentral:rRNA from 1 species
CAAUAGCGUAUAUUUAAGUUGCUGCAGUUAAAAAGCUCGUAGUUGGAUUUCGGGUGGGAAUGGCCGGUCCGCCGUUUCGGUGUGCACUUGCUACGCCCACCUUGCUGCCGGGGACGUGCUCUUGAGUUCACGCUCGGGACACGGAGUCGGCGAGGUUACUUUGAGUAAAUUAGAGUGUUCAAAGCAGGCCUACGCUCUGAAUACAUUAGCAUGGAAUAACACGAUAGGACUCUGGCCUAUCUUGUUGGUCUGUAGGACCGGAGUAAUGAUUAAGAGGAACAGUUGGGGGCAUUCGUAUUUCAUUGUCAGAGGUGAAAUUCUUGGAUUUAUGAAAGACGAACUUCUGCGAAAGCAUUUGCCAAGGAUGUUUUCAUUGA